GACGAACCGUGCGAACGUUAUUCGGAAUCACUGGGCUUAAAGCGCGUGUAGGCGGGACGGCACGUCGGUCGCUGAAAGCCCCCGGCUCAACCGGGGAACGGGCGCCGAUACGACCGUCCUGGAGGGACGUAGGGGGACCUGGAACUUCCGGUGGAGCGGUGAAAUGCGUUGAGAUCGGAAGGAACGCCCGUGGCGAAAGCGAGGUCCUGGACGUUUUCUGACGCUGAGACGCGAAAGCCAGGGGAACGAACGGG
rnacentral:rRNA from 1 species